rnacentral:lncRNA from 1 species
CUCCAAGAGUUUGGGGCGCGGACCGGAGUACCUUGCGUGCAGUUAUGUCGGCGUCGGUAGUGUCUGUCAUUUCGCGGUUCUUAGAAGAGUACUUGAGCUCCACUCCGCAGCGUCUGAAGUUGCUGGACGCGUACCUGCUGUAUAUACUGCUGACCGGGGCGCUGCAGUUCGGUUACUGUCUCCUCGUGGGGACCUUCCCCUUCAACUCUUUUCUCUCGGGCUUCAUCUCUUGUUUUGCCUGAGAAUACAGAUCAACCCACAGAACAAAGCGGAUUUCCAAGGCAUCUCCCCAGAGCGAGCCUUUGCUGAUUUUCUCUUUGCCAGCACCAUCCUGCACCUUGUUGUCAUGAACUUUGUUGGCUGAAUCAUUCUCAUUUACUUAAUUGAGGAGUAGGAGACUAAAAGAAUGUUCACUCUUUGAAUUUCCUGGAUAAGAGUUCUGGAGAUGGCAGCUUAUUGGACACAUGGAUUUUCUUCAGAUUUGCACUUACUGCUAGCUCUGCUUUUUAUGCAGGAGAAAAGCCCAGAGUUCACUGUGUGUCAGAACAACUUUCUAACAAACAUUUAUUAAUCCAGCCUCUGCCUUUCAUUAAAUGUAACCUUUUGCCUUCCAAAUUAAAGAACUCCAUGCCACUCCUCCAUA